AUACUUGCCUGGCAGGGACACCAUGAUCAUGAAGGUGGCUCUCCCAGUGUGAGGCUCGGCCAUUGCACUCUGGCCAUGCUGAUCGUGGUGUCUUCCCUGCCGCUUCGCGGCCUUUUAGGUAGGAUCAGGUGUAGUAUCUGUUCAGUUGUCAGCGGAGCGCUGAAGCACC